CUCCCAUAUUUGCUCAUCCGUAUAUUCUUCAAGAGGGUCUACAUUGCUUCGCACAGUCCCUUCAAACAUGACAGGAUCCUGGGGAAUAAUGCUUAGUCUUGUCCGCAAAUCAUGUAGUCCAAUCAAUGAGAUAUCGAUGCCAUCUAUAAGAAUCUGACCAGCAGCAGGUUCAACAAUCCGGAACAGUGUUUGAAUGAGAGUUGAUUUACCACUGCCCGUCCUCCCUACAAUACCAGUUUUCUUUUCCCCUGGGAAAGUACACGAGAUACCUCGCAACACAAAGGGCAUGUGUGGUGCAUAGCGAACCUACAUCAUAACAGCAAUCGUUGUUAACUCUAAGGGUAUUUGGGAUUUAGAUCUUGGGCUUUUAUUCCAUAACUGUUUCAGAAUGGAGAACUCAUUAUCAGUGGGUAGAUUUUAAACAUCACUAACAGCCAACUAAAAGUGGGUGUUUACCAAAUACAUUAGUUGGCGUGCUUUGAAAAAUAAGCAAAAGCACAACAGAAACAAAAACAUUCACAAAAGUUGUUAAGCAAGUAAAAUGACCUGAAGAUCACGCAGGUCAAUCUUCCCAUGUGAUGGCCAAGAAUGGUUGGGCCGACUUUCUUCUAUUUCGAGCGGGGGCUCACUAGGAAUACAAGUAUACUGAAAAAUUCUCUCAACUGAUAUAAUCUUGUUCUCCAUUUGGCAAGCAAGCCAUAUUAACAUAGCUUGUAAGUUAUUUAGGGUGAGUCCAUAUGUCACAGCUAGGCCAGCAAUUGCUUCAGAAAAGGAAAUGAGAAAAAAAAAAGCUGUUUCAUGCUCCUUUACUAAUUAUUUUUAGUUGCAAGAAGGAUUAUCAAUGACACCAUAUGUGAACUGCUAACCUGGAUCAAUAAAUCCCUUCGGAAUGGAGAUUAAGAAAACCAAAGAGAAGGCAAAUGUGAUGUUAGACAACAUAUCCAGGCGAAAGCCAAGCCAUUCCAUGGCAGCAGCAACAUGGAAUGUUGGUCGAGAAUAUCCAUCCAUCAGUUCCAUGUUUGUGUCUAUAAACCUUGAUUCUUGAUCAAAGCUCCUGAUAGUGGUUGACCCGGAAACAGUUUCUGCAAAAUGCUGUAUUAAUGGAGCUUUGCAUACUCCAACCAGCCGAGAAAGCUCCCGUGCUGAAGAUAUGUAAUAUUGCUGCAUAAACUUGAAAAAGUAAGAAAACUUCUACCCCAAAAUUGGUCUCUUAUUCAAUGAGAGUGAGACUAAAUGAAGAAAAUAUUUCGAAGAGGGACAGGUGGUUAGUGAGAACACAAUGUAUUGACACUUGCUUCUUUCAAAGUUCUAUAACUUAAAGAAAGGCAGUACAGUGAGGACCAAGAAGAUAUCAAAGCUCGAAGUAACUCCAUUUGACUGUCGACUAACAAAUGUUGGUCUUAAACGUGCAAAAGUUGAUGUAAAAAACAUCAAUUAUUCACAUGGAAAACGAUUAAACCUAUGGAAUAGAAUACAAAAAGGCAUCAAGUGAUAAUAGAUAUUAAAUAUUUAACCAGAAUUUUGAUGUGCCAAUGUCAUAAUGUGGGCACAGCUUAUAAAGAGUUGCCAAGAGCACAAGGAUUACCUGAUACCAGAUGCAGGUAGCAAUCACAGGGAUAAAAACAAUAAAAACCUGCCAUGCAACCAGAGACAUCACACCAAUCACUCCUAGAACCCGAAUGAUUGAGAAUGCAAAGGACCCAAUGAGAGCAGGAAUGCUCAAAUCAACAGCACUUUGGUCGGUAGAUGCCUUGAAGAACAAAAGCAAAUUGGUUAAGCAAAUACUUCUAGGUAUGGUUUUGGUUUUCACAAAACUUUUAAGAGAUUCCAAUGUUGAUUCCCUAAUAAAGUUUAUUAGACAAGAACGUACUCUGUUUAUAAUUCGACCACUGGGGGUUGCAUCAAAGAAGGACAUGGGGGCACGGAAGAUGCAAUAAUGCAUUUUAUUAAAGAGCAGAGUGGCUGUUUUGUAUCCAGCCGUUGCAAGAAGUGUGGAUCUGGCAAGGAUGCAAAAAGAACUUCCAAAAGCCAAAGCUACAAAAACAAUUAAUAGCAUAGAGCCUGUAACUCUAGGUUUUAUGUCCUUUGAAGCUGGAGUUGCCCAAGCAAUCCAAUAAUUGCUGGCAAUUUGAAGGAUUUGAAAGAGCGUCUGUGCCAGCAAUAUGAAGGGCACAAGAACUCCUCCGUAAGCUGCAGUGAUAUAUUUCCAGUACACUGAAAACUCAACUUUACCUUUCUCCCUCUCUUCUUCUUGAACAAGCUGCCUUUGCGGCUCUGCAACUUUAUCUUCUCUAUCAUUCUGAACUUCUUUGUUUUCUACUUCCUUGACAACCCCAUCAGUAGCACUUGUACCAUCAUUUUCUCCAUUGGCAGAUCCUUUUUCAGAAAGAGGCCUCCCCUCAAUGGAAUCAAGCGUUGAUAAAGCUUGCUUAUGUGCAUCCACAAGUUCCAUAAAAUCAGUUCCAGAGUUUAUAACAUCAGUGUACUUUCCAGCUUGUGUAAUCUUUCCAUCUUUAAUUACCUAAAAUAUAAGAUAUAAGGAGAGUUAUGGGUCAAUGAAGUGGGGAAACACAUUCCAACAUAAAAAGAGAUGAUACUUAUAUUGCUCACCAAGACUAGAUCAGCAGCAGGUAAGAACUCCACUUGAUGAGUAACAUAUAAUACAGUCUUUGAAUUCAAAAGGCCCAACAAAACUUCCUGCAAAAUUAUUGUACAAAGGUUACCAAUGGUAUUACAUGGAUGACUUAUUACAACAAUUAAAAACGAAGGACUCAUACUCAUGAAUGACAUAGCAAACUUUAAACAUUCUACAGGGUAAAACUUCCAAGAAAAUUGAUAGCAUUAGAAACAGAAUAGAUUAUACUUUAAAGAGGUGAGAUCCUGUAUGAGCAUCCACAGCACUAAACGGAUCAUCAAACAGAUAGAUAUCAGCAUCUUGGUAAAGAGCACGUGCAAUCUGUAUUCUUUGUUUCUGUCCUCCACUCAAAUUGAUCCCUCUCUCGCCUAUAACUGUCUGAUCACCAAAUGACAGGAUUUCCAAGUCCUUCUUCAGGGAACACGCAUCAAGCACUGCGUUGUACCUUUCCCUGUCCAUCUCCUUUCCAAAUAAAAUGUUAUCUUCAAUCUUGCCACUCUGUAUCCAAGGCGACUGUGCCACAUACGCCUUUGUACCACACAACUUCAGGGUACCAGAUAUCUUGGGUACUUCUCCCAAAAUACAAGAAAGCAAGCUUGAUUUGCCAGAGCCAACAGUACCACAAACUGCAACCCUCAUGCCGUGAAACACUUUCAAGUUUAUGUCUUUCAAUGUUGGAUUAUGUGAAGAAAUAUCCCAUGAAAAAUUCCCAUCAGCUAUCUCAAUUGCUGUUUCAGAACUACCUCUUGGUUGCUUCUCAACAAGAUCAGGCUGCAACUCAUCAAGACAAAAGAAAGAGGCAAUUCUUUGAAGUGAAACCUUUGUCUGAAUUAUCAUUGAAAUUAUGGCAGGCAGCUUAUAAAUUAGUAUUUGAAGAAGCCUGAAUGUUGCAAUUGCAGAUAAUACCUUUCCUGACUCAAGUGGGACUUUCAGAAGUAUACAAGUUCCAAAUGUGAUCACAGACACAAAAGUGGGAGCACACCAAAAGACAAAGGAUGUUAUGGAGGAAGUGUAAAGACAUCUUUUCAGCCAUCCACUCUCACUCUUUCUGAGAUCAAUAGUCUUAGACAGAAACUUCAAUUCCCAUCCCUGAAGCUUAAGAAUCCUCAUGUUUCUUAAAAUCUCCGAAGUUGCCUUCAUUCUUUCAUCUUUUGAUUUCAUCAACUCGUUCUGAAAUUUCUCUUGCACCGUACUCAAAGGAACAUUCACCAGCAUAAAAAUUACCGUUCCAAAAAAUGCUGCAACCGAUGCUAUCCCAAGACUCUUGUACAAGAUUAAAAAGGACAAAGCAACUUCAAAGAGAAAUAACCACGGAUCAUGAAUAUACCAACUUAAUUCAGCAACCCUCUCAGCAUCGACAGUCAUGAAAUUUAUGAUUUCCCCGCUAGUAUUGCCUUGCUUAGCCUGAGAUGAAAGUUUCAGACCUUUAUUGUAGAUCAUUGCAAUAAGAGCUGCCCGCAACCUAAUUCCAAGCUGCUCCAACCGGAAAACAAAGAAUCUCUGGCAGAGGCACUCCACAAGCUUAGCAACGCAAAAAGCAGAAACCAAAGCAUACCCCUCAUUUUCAAAAUCCCGCUUCCCAGAGAGAUAUUGAACUAAAGUAUCAAUGAGAUAAGGGCCAACAUAAGUGGCCAAUGUGCACACAAUGGCCACUAAAGCUGUAAGAAGAACAUCUUUCCAAACGGAGCGGAACAUUGCUUUGAUCAGCUUUAGUGUGGUGAGUCCACUUCCCAAUCCAGCUUCAGUCUCAAGCUUAUUCUUAAAAGUUGCAAAGACCCCAACCACACUAUUACCGCUAUCUAAUUGAGGCACAUCCUCAAGGUCUAAAGUUUUCUUAUUGCCAAGAGCAAUUAGAGAAUUUAUCCAGGUGUAAGUAAGAACACUGAAUAGACCAGCAUUUGAAUAAGGAGUCACAGUAUCAGCUCCUCUGGACUUGAUUGAUGCUACCGUCCCUUCACUUUCACCAGAAUCUACUUUCAAAAGGGGUUCUUGAAGGAUAAGGGUAUCUUCGCCCUCGAUUUUACUCAUAAAACCCACAAAACAUGGAAACAAUCCAGUGAUAACAGAUACAACAUCAGAUACUAGAUACUGAAUUGGUAAGUUUACUUGCUUUUGGUACAGGACAAUGUCAACAAUCAGACAGUAACAAGAAAUAAAAACAUAAAAGCCCCACCAAAUUUUCAACAAUAUCGGGAGCUUUGGUUGCCUUAAAUUAAGAAACACUGUACGCAAAUAAACACAAAUUGCACCCCAACCAAGUGUUCUAACCCCAAAAUCGAAAAGGAUCACAAGUUGAUCAUAAGACCUGCCAUUUCCAUACCAAUAAAAGUAACUCAACAGACACAACACAAGACUAGACAGUGAAACAACAAAGCAACAAACCAAAGUCAGCUUAUACCACAAAGCCUUCUUGUUCUUGAACCUCUCCUUGGACCCUCCACUAUGAUCACCUUCACCAACUUUCAGCUUCUUCCAAACCCACAAUCCAAACAACCCAAGCAACAAAAAUAAGUGCAAAGAACCAGAAGCCCCACGAAGGAAAGCUUGCUUAAGAAGGAAAUCAGUCCCUGAAUACAUUUUUGAAGAUGAAAAAUGAGUGUGCUCUAAGGUUUUAUAGGUAACACAUUUAUGAAGUUAAUGGUACUUUUUUUUUUUUUUUUUUAACGUUAUAUAUGAGAGGAUUGAAGGCACAAAUGAGAGAGAAAGAGAUGGAUUUCCUGGGGAAGAGUUGACGCGGAGACUUGGACUGGAGAGGCCGAGAGAACAGAGGAUAUUAACAUAUGAGCGAGCAAUACUGAUGUUUCCAUGAGCCAAAUACAAAUAAAACAAGAAAACACUGUCAGAAGCUUCAGUUUACCAUAAAUGUGUCUCUACUUUAUUUGUAUGCAUGAGUGUGACGUCGUGUAAAAAAAGGAGCUUCUAAAUUAUAAUAAUUAUAACAUACAUUCAUGUAAAUCACAUAAAUUAUAAAAUAUGUGAUUCACAUAAAAAAUGAGUAAUGAUACAGUUACAAACUCUUGUAUAAACUUAUUUUGUACAAAUUAAUGUGGCAUGAUAAGAUUGGUUAAAUUAAAUAUCACUUGGCCCACAUGAUUUAUUUUUAUUAAUUUAUAUUUUCAUUCAACCAAUGAAUUAAUGCCACGUCAGUUUGUACAAAAUAAAUUUAUACAAGAGUUUAUAAUUGUAUCAUUACUCAUAAAAAAUAUAUAUUACAAUUAUUAUAGCUUAGCAUUUUACCGUAUAAAAUUAUAAGGACACAUUUAAUUGGAUUUGCAUUACAUUUAAGUCCUUAUUUGAUGACAUAUUGACUGUCUCGUUUCAGUAUGACUUUCUAUUGGAAUUUGCGAGGUAAAAUUGUCGUAAGUGAAUGCUAGCUAGCCGUUGGCCACAACCCAAUAAUUGCCAUGAAAUGAGUUCAUUUUAAUCAAUUGAUGAAAUUUUUCCAAAGCCGUGUUUGACCAACUUUGAGAAAGUGGCACCUCAUUUCAUCCCAAUUUUCAUUGGGACUUUUCAAUAGAUUAUUAUAUGUUAUGGUAUUUAUAUAUUUAUGUGUAAUUUUCAUUGGAAUUUUGUCAAAUUAUAUUAAUAUUACAAAAUCUCUAACCAUAUCAAAAUUUCAACAAUAAUUUUAAAAAUGCUAAUUAAAAUGUCCUUCCCUCAUUUUUAUGAUGCUUUAUUCAAAAUUUAAACUAAGUAUGAUUCAUUUUGUUCAAUAUAUUUGAAAAAUCGAUACCCCAUAAAUUUGGUGGAACUAAUUGUGUUAUCUUGAAUGAUUGAUUGUUUCUAACAGUAAUGAAAUAAUUUUGUCUUAGAUCCUAAAACAAAAUAUUCGCAAGAUAAACAAAUAAUUCUGUCUUAAAAUUGCUAUUAGUUGGAUGUAAAAAAUUCUCCAGCCAUUGUUUGAGUGGAUUGCCACUGAUAAAUGUAAAGGAAUAGAGUAAUGCAGACAUUUUGAUCUAAAAGAUUGGUACAAAUUUUCCAAUUUCAUAAUUGACCUAAAUGGGAAGCUGAUGCCUCAAAUCAAUUCUAUAAUCAUUAUCCUUAGACUUUUCUUGCAUUUGAUUUUCCACCGUCCACUUGCUUUAUGUCUCUCCUUUUAUUUAUUUAUUUUCCUUCCAUUUCUAUUUCCUGUCUUUUGUAAAAUUUCUUUCAUUUCUAUUUCCUGUCUUUUCAAAUGAGAAAAAUAUUAAAAUAUUCAUUUCAUUAUGGUUAUAUAUAUACACAAAAUAUUGAAAGCUCAGACCUAUUUAAUCGGGAGGUGCUAGUUUCAGUUGUUGAACAAAAGCUAUAAUUAUAAGGAAAAGUUUAUAUUGAGUGUAUAUUGGUCAUUAUUAUUAUGUAAGACUUUUUAUAAAAAUUUUUUUUAAGAAUAAAUGAAAUUGAAAAUUAAAAAAAAAAUACUGCUCCUACAAUCCGAUUUAAUGGAGUUCUUUUAAGAAACUUAUAACCAAGGCAAAUUUUUCAAAUCAAUUUGAAAUUCUCAAGUCUUUCCGCAUUGCGAAUGUGUGCAUUUUAUAAUAUAUUUGUAUUUUAUUGUUAUGAAGAUCUUAAAUAAAUAUUUGGGUCACAAAAUUAACAAAGCAUAUGUCGAAUAUUAAUAAUAUUAAAAUUAUUUUAUAAAAUAUUGAUAUUAUAUAUAUAUAUAUUUACUUAAUGUUAUAUUUUUAUUUAUUAUAAAAUAUUAAAGUUAAUUUUUUUUAUUAUAAAUAAUAUAAUAAUAAAAAGGCCUCUUACUAUCUUUUAUUGAAAACUUGAGGAGUUCGUAACUAAAUUUUUUUUUUUUUUUUAAAUUUAGGGGUGUAACUAUCGUUUUUGCUGAAAAAUAUGUAUUAGAAACAAAUUGGAGCUCUUUAAUAAAAAUAUUGAAAUCUGCAAUGUUUUCUCAUAGAAGAGUUGUGCAAUAUUUUGUUCGACCAUGAGCAAUUAAUUAGGAUAUAGCUUCUUACCUCUGCGAUAAUACUCCUGCAUGCUCGACGACGUAAUUGUUUUGCAGUGGUUAAAAGACCAUGACCUUUUUCUGUAAUGAUGCUUUGACUUUGUGGGAUAGUCACCACUUUACACUCAAUAGGAAUUUAUACGAGGGCUCUUGGAAUUGGUCCAAAUAUUUGGUUCUCUUAGCUAUGAAUGAUCAUCUCUUGUGACUAUUUUACUUUUUGAUCGAUAAAAGUUUUUAUAAAAGUUUGCUGGGGUAAAUUUUUAUAAUAUAGGCUGAGUGGUUUGAUAUAUAUAUAUAUAUAUAUAUAUACACCUCAAUUUCGGUAUCAUUACCUUGAGACUUUCAUUUUAUAAUUGGUCACGGCUUGCUUUCUUUUCUUUUCUUUUCUUUUUCUCUCUCUCUAUAUAUACAAUUAUCUUUCGUUUUUAAGUGAGAAUAAAUAUUCUCUAGUAAAUGCUUUGAAAUCUAGAAUCGCUCUGUUAUGCAGACAUUUGUAUUUUAUAAAAUUACGAACUUGAAGGAGUUGUUAAUAACUGGUUAAUAACGAUGAGAAUCACAAUAUCCUAAUAAUUUUUUUUUUUUAAAAAAAGUGCUUGAAAUUGCCAAAAUUAAAACUUAACUUCAUGUAAUUCUAAAUCCUAAUGGAGAAACAUGAAGCUAUGAUAAUUAUGAUUACAAAAACAUAUAUGGAUGAUUCUCUAUCUUCGCAUUGGUUGCUACAGGGUCCAAGCAAAAAAUGUCAAUGAGAUUAACCAGACCCGGUUCCUUCAUUCGAAUACAUUCUCUCGAUCAACUUUGACAGUUCUUCUACCUUGUUUGAUCCCAAUGAUUGCAUUCUUUGUGGUACUCAACAGCUCCUAACUUGCAAAAUAUUCGCAGAUGUUUCAGAUAAAUGCCACUUGGUGCAAAGUCAAUCAUUUACGAUGAUACGAUGAGUCAGGUAGGAGGAGGAGAGAGCAUACGAGCAAAAAAUAAUGUCAUGAUUUUUGGAACCUCUUUUAGAAAUCUCUGGACUCUGGGGAAGAAACUAUUUUUGCCAUUAUGAACAUUUGAUUCUGCUGGAGGAAUGCAAUAUCAGAAUCGGAAGUCUAAGUCAAGUAGUACACACAAACUGAAAUAACACAUUCCAUAAAUACAUUAACAAUAAUGUCAAAACGAACCUGUAACUUAAAGUUACUUAGUCAUCAAGUAACUUACCUCACUUAAUUGUGCAAUGGUAUAAGGUAUGGCCUUCAAUUCCCAGCUAAAUUCUCAAAACUGGAACUCGACCUGAGAGUGUACUCUGCAACAAGUUGUGAAAAAGACGAUGAUUUGUUCUCUAGCAAAUUUGCUGGGUUAUCAAACUCCUCGAUAAGCCCUGCAACAAGAGCUCGAAAUGUUACUUACAUCUGAUGAUGAGCAUGCUACAAAAGAAAGCAUAUAUGAAUUAAUUGGACACACUAACCAUGAUUUAGAAGCAGAACCAAAUCACUGUCAAUAACAGAAGUUAUCCGAUGGGCAAUGGUUAGGACUGUGCAGUCAGAAAAGUGCUGCCGAAGAGUUUGCUGGAUCAGAUUAUCAGUAGCAGUGUCAACGGAUGCAGUUGCUUCAUCAAGCAUCAAGAUUUUACUUCGCUUGAGUAGCACACGGCCAAGACAGACCAGUUGCCUCUGGCCCAUACUCCAGUUCUCUCCAUUCUCAGUAACUGCAGCAUUCAAAUGAAAAAAGAUAAUGGAAACUCUAGCCACAAAAAUAUUUGCAAAAAAUCACUACAUAUAACAGACUAGGGAGAAAGACGGACCUUUUGAAUCUAGCUUCCCCUCCUUCUUCCUAACUUCAUCUCCAAGUUGGCAUUUUUCCAGAGCCUAAAACCAUUUAAAGAAAUUUUAGCACAAUCCAACUUACAUCAAUUGCAAGCCUGAAAACACUGCAUAAGCUUCUGCCUACCUCCCAAAUUUGCUCAUCCGUAGACUCUUCAAGAGGGUCUAGAUUGCUUCGAACAGUCCCUUCAAACAUGACAGGAUCCUGGGGAAUAAUGCUUAGUCUUGAUCGCAAAUCAUGUAGUCCAAUUAAUGAGAUAUCAAUGCCAUCGAUCAGAAUCUGACCAGCAGCAGGUUCAACAAUCCGGAACAGUGUUUGAAUGAGAGUUGAUUUACCACUUCCUGUUCUCCCUACAAUGCCAGUUUUCUCCCCUCCGGGGAAAGUGCAUGAGAUACCUUGCAAAACAAGGGGCAUUUGUGGUGCAUAGCGGACCUACAUCACAACCGCGAUAAUUGAUAUGUAAAAAUGAUAAAAGCUAAGGGAGUGUUGGGGAUGAAGAUGCCAUGGCAUUUUACUCCAUAACUGUUGUAGAAUGGAGUUACUCGUGGUCAAAGCUAUAUGCUUUGUGGGUAGUUUGUAUGACCAGUAGAGUGGAUGUUUUCCAAACAGUUUAGUUGAUGUGCAUUGAAACUGAAGCAGAAGUACAACAAGGCCAAACAUACCGAAAACUCAUUAAGCAAGUAAACUUACCUGGAGAUCAAGCAGGUCAAUCUUUCCAUGUGAUGGCCAAGAAUCAUUCGGGCGACUUUCUUCGAUUGCAAGAGGGGGCUCACUAGGAAUACAUGUAUACUGAAAAAUUCUCUCGACUGAUAUAAUCUUAUUCUCCAGAUCGCAAGCAAACCAUAUUAAUGUAG
rnacentral:lncRNA from 1 species